UGUAAACAUCAUCUUCUACAGGCUGGAUGAAGAAAGAGACAUUUUCUUUGUCCAGGUUGUUUCUGACAUUGUGGGACACAGUGCUGUGACAUCAUUUUGCUAUCCCUGUUGGUAUCCAUGCCCAGGUAAUUCUGGGCUCUACACCUGUCCCAGACCUUUUCAAAAGCAUUUGUAAUGAGGGUUUGGCUGUAGUUAGAGCAAGGGUGGAUGUCUGCCUCUCAGCCCUCUGGGCCAUCACUGCCACUCUUGGACACUGAGAGUAUGCCAGCUCUGUUGACAAAUUCCAUCACAGAUAAGAUAGGUGUGGAGAUGUCUCAACGUUUCUACACAUCUGGAUCUUCCUAUCCAUGAUGCCCAGCAUUCACUGUUUGGAAGAGAAGUGCCUGGGUGUUCUGCCAAGCACAGUGGACAUUCAGCCUACACUGAAUACUGCUGUACCUGGAAACACUGCUGUUCACAAAGCUAGGUGGUAAAAUUGUACAAAAUAUGGGUAA